rnacentral:rRNA from 1 species
UGGGGAAUUUUGGACAAUGGGGGAAACCCUGAUCCAGCCAUCCCGCGUGUGCGAUGAAGGCCUUCGGGUUGUAAAGCACUUUUGGCAGGAAAGAAACGUCGCGGGUUAAUACCCCGCGAAACUGACGGUACCUGCAGAAUAAGCACCGGCUAACUGCGUGCCAGCAGCCGCGGUAAUACGUAGGGUGCAAGCGUUAAUCGGAAUUACUGGGCGUAAAGCGUGCGCAGGCGGUUCGGAAAGAAAGAUGUGAAAUCCCAGAGCUUAACUUUGGAACUGCAUUUUUAACUACCGGGCUAGAGUGUGUCAGAGGGAGGUGGAAUUCCGCGUGUAGCAGUGAAAUGCGUAGAUAUGCGGAGGAACACCGAUGGCGAAGGCAGCCUCCUGGGAUAACACUGACGCUCAUGCACGAAAGCGUGGGGAGCAAACAGGACUAGAUACCCUGGUAGUCCACGCCCUAAACGAUGUCAACUAGCUGUUGGGGCCUUCGGGCCUUGGUAGCGCAGCUAACGCGUGAAGUUGACCGCCUGGGGAGUACGGUCGCAAGAUUAAAACUCAAAUGAAUUGACGGGGGUCAUAGCUG